rnacentral:rRNA from 1 species
CAGCAGCCGCGGGAAUACGUAGGUGGCAAGCGUUGUCCGGAAUUAUUGGGCGUAAAGGGCUCGCAGGCGGUUUCUUAAGUCUGAUGUGAAAGCCCCCGGCUCAACCGGGGAGGGUCAUUGGAAACUGGGAAACUUGAGUGCAGAAGAGGAGAGUGGAAUUCCACGUGUAGCGGUGAAAUGCGUAGAGAUGUGGAGGAACACCAGUGGCGAAGGCGACUCUCUGGUCUGUAACUGACGCUGAGGAGCGAAAGCGUGGGGAGCGAACAGGAUUAGAGACCCCUGUAGUCCCUGUCUCUUAUAA